rnacentral:rRNA from 1 species
GGUUAAGCGACUAAGCGUACACGGUGGAUGCCCUGGCAGUCAGAGGCGAUGAAGGACGUGCUAAUCUGCGAAAAGCGUCGGUAAGGUGAUAUGAACCGUUAUAACCGGCGAUGUCCGAAUGGGGAAACCCAGUGCAAUUCGUUGCACUAUCGUUAACUGAAUACAUAGGUUAACGAGGCGAACCGGGGGAACUGAAACAUCUAAGUACCCCGAGGAAAAGAAAUCAACCGAGAUUCCCCCAGUAGCGGCGAGCGAACGGGGAGCAGCCCAGAGUCUGAAUCAGCUUGUGUGUUAGUGGAACGGUCUGGAAAGUCCGACGGUACAGGGUGAUAGUCCCGUACACCAAAAUGCACAGGUUGUGAACUCGAAGAGUAGGGCGGGACACGUGGUAUCCUGUCUGAAUAUGGGGGGACCAUCCUCCAAGGCUAAAUACUCCUGACUGACCGAUAGUGAACCAGUACCGUGAGGGAAAGGCGAAAAGAACCCCGGCGAGGGGAGUGAAAAAGAACCUGAAACCGUGUACGUACAAGCAGUGGGAGCACCUUCGGGUGUGACUGCGUACCUUUUGUAUAAUGGGUCAGCGACUUAUAUUCUGUAGCAAGGUUAACCGUAUAGGGGAGCCGCAGGGAAACCGAGUCUUAACUGGGCGUUAAGUUGCAGGGUAUAGACCCGAAACCCGGUGAUCUAGCCAUGGGCAGGUUGAAGGUUGGGUAACACUAACUGGAGGACCGAACCGACUAAUGUUGAAAAAUUAGCGGAUGACUUGUGGCUGGGGGUGAAAGGCCAAUCAAACCGGGAGAUAGCUGGUUCUCCCCGAAAGCUAUUUAGGUAGCGCCUCGUGAACUCAUCUUCGGGGGUAGAGCACUGUUUCGGCUAGGGGGUCAUCCCGACUUACCAACCCGAUGCAAACUACGAAUACCGAAGAAUGUUAUCACGGGAGACACACGGCGGGUGCUAACGUCCGUCGUGAAGAGGGAAACAACCCAGACCGCCAGCUAAGGUCCCAAAGUCAUGGUUAAGUGGGAAACGAUGUGGGAAGGCACAGACAGCCAGGAUGUUGGCUUAGAAGCAGCCAUCAUUUAAAGAAAGCGUAAUAGCUCACUGGUCGAGUCGGCCUGCGCGGAAGAUGUAACGGGGCUAAACCAUGCACCGAAGCUGCGGCAGCGACACGAUGUGUUGUUGGGUAGGGGAGCGUUCUGUAAGCCUGCGAAGGUGACCUGUGAGGGUUGCUGGAGGUAUCAGAAGUGCGAAUGCUGACAUAAGUAACGAUAAAGCGGGUGAAAAGCCCGCUCGCCGGAAGACCAAGGGUUCCUGUCCAACGUUAAUCGGGGCAGGGUGAGUCGACCCCUAAGGCGAGGCCGAAAGGCGUAGUCGAUGGGAAACAGGUUAAUAUUCCUGUACUUGGUGUUACUGCGAAGGGGGGACGGAGAAGGCUAUGUUAGCCGGGCGACGGUUGUCCCGGUUUAAGCAUGUAGGCUGGUUGUCCAGGCAAAUCCGGAUAAUCAAGGCUGAGGUGUGAUGACGAGGCACUACGGUGCUGAAGUAACAAAUGCCCUGCUUCCAGGAAAAGCCUCUAAGCAUCAGGUAACAUCAAAUCGUACCCCAAACCGACACAGGUGGUCAGGUAGAGAAUACCAAGGCGCUUGAGAGAACUCGGGUGAAGGAACUAGGCAAAAUGGUGCCGUAACUUCGGGAGAAGGCACGCUGGUGUGUAGGUGAAGUCCCUGCGGAUGGAGCUGAGACCAGUCGAAGAUACCAGCUGGCUGCAACUGUUUAUUAAAAACACAGCACUGUGCAAACACGAAAGUGGACGUAUACGGUGUGACGCCUGCCCGGUGCCGGAAGGUUAAUUGAUGGGGUUAUCCGUAAGGAGAAGCUCUUGAUCGAAGCCCCGGUAAACGGCGGCCGUAACUAUAACGGUCCUAAGGUAGCGAAAUUCCUUGUCGGGUAAGUUCCGACCUGCACGAAUGGCGUAAUGAUGGCCAGGCUGUCUCCACCCGAGACUCAGUGAAAUUGAACUCGCUGUGAAGAUGCAGUGUACCCGCGGCAAGACGGAAAGACCCCGUGAACCUUUACUAUAGCUUGACACUGAACAUUGAGCCUUGAUGUGUAGGAUAGGUGGGAGGCUUUGAAGCGUGGACGCCAGUCUGCGUGGAGCCAACCUUGAAAUACCACCCUUUAAUGUUUGAUGUUCUAACGUUGGCCCCUGACCGGGGUUGCGGACAGUGUCUGGUGGGUAGUUUGACUGGGGCGGUCUCCUCCCAAAGCGUAACGGAGGAGCACGAAGGUUAGCUAAUCCUGGUCGGACAUCAGGAGGUUAGUGCAAUGGCAUAAGCUAGCUUGACUGCGAGCGUGACGGCGCGAGCAGGUGCGAAAGCAGGUCAUAGUGAUCCGGUGGUUCUGAAUGGAAGGGCCAUCGCUCAACGGAUAAAAGGUACUCCGGGGAUAACAGGCUGAUACCGCCCAAGAGUUCAUAUCGACGGCGGUGUUUGGCACCUCGAUGUCGGCUCAUCACAUCCUGGGGCUGAAGUAGGUCCCAAGGGUAUGGCUGUUCGCCAUUUAAAGUGGUACGCGAGCUGGGUUUAGAACGUCGUGAGACAGUUCGGUCCCUAUCUGCCGUGGGCGCUGGAGAAUUGAGGGGGGCUGCUCCUAGUACGAGAGGACCGGAGUGGACGCAUCACUGGUGUUCGGGUUGUCAUGCCAAUGGCACUGCCCGGUAGCUAAAUGCGGAAGAGAUAAGUGCUGAAAGCAUCUAAGCACGAAACUUGCCCCGAGAUGAGUUCUCCCUGAGACUUUAAGUCUCCUGAAGGAACGUUGAAGACGACGACGUUGAUAGGCCGGGUGUGUAAGCGCAGCGAUGCGUUGAGCUAACCGGUACUAAUGAACCGUGAGGCUUAACCUU